rnacentral:misc_RNA from 1 species
GAUGAAGAACGUGGCGAAAUGCGAUAAGUAGUGUGAAUUGCAGAAUUCAGUGAAUCAUCGAAUCUUUGAACGCACAUUGCGCCCUUUGGUAUUCCUUAGGGCAUGCCUGUUCGAGCGUCAUUUAAACCUUCAAGCUAAGCUUGGUGUUGGGUGACUGUCCGCUUCACGGCGGACUCGCCUCAAAAUUAUUGGCGGCCGGUACAUUGGCUUCGAGCGCAGCAGAAACGCGAACUCGGGCCCGUCGUAUUGGCUCCCAGAAGCUAUCUUCACAAUUUUGACCUCGGAUCAGGUAGGGAUACCCGCUGAACUUAAGCAUAUCAAUAAGCGGAGGA